rnacentral:rRNA from 1 species
AGUGAACGCUGGCGGUAGGCCUAACACAUGCAAGUCGAACGGCAGCACAGUAAGAGCUUGCUCUUACGGGUGGCGAGUGGCGGGCGGGUGAGGAAUACAUCGGAAUCUACUUUUUCGUGGGGGAUAACGUAGGGAAACUUACGCUAAUACCGCAUACGACCUACGGGUGAAAGCAGGGGAUCUUCGGACCUUGCGCGAUUGAAUGAGCCGAUGUCGGAUUAGCUAGUUGGCGGGGUAAAGGCCCACCAAGGCGACGAUCCGUAGCUGGUCUGAGAGGAUGAUCAGCCACACUGGAACUGAGACACGGUCCAGACUCCUACGGGAGGCAGCAGUGGGGAAUAUUGGACAAUGGGCGCAAGCCUGAUCCAGCCAUACCGCGUGGGUGAAGAAGGCCUUCGGGUUGUAAAGCCCUUUUGUUGGGAAAGAAAAGCAGCAGGUUAAUACCCCGCUGUUCUGACGGUACCCAAAGAAUAAGUACCGGCUAACUUCGUG